GAUGAAGAACGCAGCGAAAUGCGAUACUUGGUGUGAAUUGCAGAAUCCCGUGAACCAUCGAGUCUUUGAACGCAAGUUGCGCCCCAAGCCGUUAGGCCGAGGGCACGCCUGCCUGGGUGUCACGCAUCGUUGCCCCCCUCCCCGAAACCCCUCUCCUCGAAAGAGACGAGGGGACUUGGCCGUGGGGGGGCGGAUAUUGGCCUCCCGUGUGCCGGACGGCUCGCGGUUGGCCUAAAUACGAGUCGUCGGCGACGCACGCCACGACAAUCGGUGGUUGCGAAACCUCGGUUGCCCGUCGUGUGCGGUCGUCGCGCAUCGAGGGCUCGAAAAAAUUGCCGGGCUCCGGCUCGGCUUUCAACGCGACCCCAGGUCAGGCGGGGUUACCCGCUGAAUUUAAGCAUAUCAAUAAGCGGAGGA
rnacentral:misc_RNA from 1 species